ACACAUAACGGAGGAAAGAAACUAACAAGGAUUCCCCUAGUAACUGCGAGUGAAGCGGGAAAAGCUCAAAUUUAAAAUCUGGUGGUCUUUGGCCAUCCGAGUUGUAAUUUAGAGAAGCGUCUUCCGCGCUGGACCGUGCACAAGUCUCCUGGAAUGGAGCGUCGUAGAGGGUGAGAAUCCCGUCUUUGGCACGGACGCACCAGGGCUUUUGUGAUGCGCUCUCGAAGAGUCGAGUUGUUUGGGAAUGCAGCUCAAAAUGGGUGGUGAACUCCAUCUAAAGCUAAAUAUUGGCGAGAGACCGAUAGCGAACAAGUACCGUGAGGGAAAGAUGAAAAGCACUUUGGAAAGAGAGUGAAACAGUACGUGAAAUUGUUGAAAGGGAAACGCUUGAAGUCAGUCGCGUUGCCCGAGACUCAGCCUUGCCUUGGCUUGGUGUACUUCUCGGCCGACGGGUCAGCAUCAAUUUUGCCCCUUGGAUAAUGGCAAGGGAAAUGUGACACCUUUACGGGUGUGUUAUAGUCUCUCGUCGCAUGCAAGGGUCGGGAUUGAGGAACUCAGCACGCGCCUUUGGGCGUCGGGGUUCGCCCACGAUACGUGCUUAGGAUGUUGGCGUAAUGGCUUUAAACGACCCGUCUUGAAACACGGACCAAGGAGUCUAACAUGCCCGCGAGUGUUCGGGUGGAAAACCCGUGCGCGCAAUGAAAGUGAAAGUUGGGACCUCUGUCGUGGAGGGCACCAACGCCCGGACCAGACCUUCUGUGACGGAUCUGCGGUAGAGCGUGUAUGUUAGGACCCGAAAGAUGGUGAACUAUGCCUGAAUAGGGUGAAGCCAGAGGAAACUCUGGUGGAGGCUCGUAGCGAUUCUGACGUGCAAAUCGAUCGUCAAAUUUGGGUAUAGGGGCGAAGACUAUCGACCUCUAGAC
rnacentral:rRNA from 1 species